rnacentral:rRNA from 1 species
CUGGCUUUAUCCUGCCAGUAGUCAUAUGCUGUCUCAAAUUAAGCCAUGCAUUGUCUAAGUCACACCCUCGUACGGUGAAACCGCGAAUGGCUCAUUAAAUCAGUCGAGUUCCUUAGAUGAUCCAUUUCUACUUGGAUAACUGUGGCAAUUUCUCAGAGCUAAUACAUGCAAACCAGCUCCGACCCGGAUGUCACAGCCGGGAAAGAGCGCUUUUAUUAGUUCAAACAGUCGGGUUCGGCCCCGUCCUUUUGGUGACUCUGGAUAACUUUGUGCCGAUCGCAUGGCCUCGAGCCGGCGACGCAUCUUUCAAUGUCGACCCUAUCAAAUGUCGAUGUACUCCUGAUAGGCCUACCUAUCAUGUUGACUACGGGUAACGGGGAAUCAGUUCGAUUCCGAGAGGGAGCAUGACAAGAAAACGGCUACCACAUCAAGGAAUCAGCAGGCUGCGCACUUACCACCCCAGCUCGGGGAGGUAGUGACGAAAAAUAACAAUACGAACUCUUUUGAGGCUCCGUAAUUGGAAUAGUACACUUUAAACCCUUUAACGAGGAUCUAUUGGAGGGCAAGUCUGGUGCCAGCAGCCGGUAUAUCCAGCCUUAAUUCCAGCUCCAAUAGGUAUAUUAAAGUUGUUGUUAUCAUUAAAAAGCUCGUAGUCCACUUGGAUCGUGCUCAGGCAUGGGCGUCGUGUCUCGCGCACAUCACUGGCGCAAGCUCGGGCGGGCGGCUCGACAGCUUCGCACCAUCGGGUCGCGUUCGUCUUUGGCGUCCCAUCCUCCGUUUAUCUCCGUCUCUCCGUCCAUGUGCUCUUCGCUGAGCGUUAUGGGCGCCGGAACGUUUACUUUGAAGAAUAGAGUGUCAAAGCAGGCUCGUCAGCUUCUGAAUAAUGGUGCAUGAAUAAUGGAAUAGGACCUCGGUUCUAUUUUGCUGGGUUUCGAACACAGUAAUGAUUAAGAGGACAGACGGGCAUCCGUAUUGCAGUUUAGAGGAAUGAAAUCUUUGGAUCAUCGCAAGACGAACAACUGCGAAAGCAUUUGCCAAGCAUGUGUUCAUUAGUCAAGAACGAAAGUCAGAGGUUCGAAACGAUCAGAUACCGUUCGUAGUUCUGCUACCCAUAAACGAUGCCAACUAGCGAUCCGCAGGUGUUGCUUCAUCGACUCUGCCUGGCAGCUUCCGGGAAAACCAAUAGUUUCUCGGCUUAUUCCGGGAGUAUGUCGCAAGCUCUGAAACUUAAAGAUGACGGAAGCGCACCACAGAAUCAUGAGCACUGCGCCUUAAUUUGCACUCAACACGGAAAAACUCACCCGUCCAAACCUCGCUAAGGACUACAAUUUGUAUAGCUCUUCUUUAUCGAGUUGUCACGUGGUGCGGCAGUGACCUUUCCCUGAGGACGAUUGUCUGGUAAUUCCGAUAACCGAUACGAGACUCUAGCCUGCUAAAUAGUUUCACCAUCUAUUCAAAGACGCCGUCUAAACCUUCUUUAAGGGACAAGUGGCGAUUCAGCCACACGAUGAAUUGAGCAAUAACAGAGUCUCCAUUACUUCCCAACAUCAUCAUAGCAUCCAGUAUGCCCUUAGACCACCCGGAGGACCCACGCGCUCUACACCUGAAGCAAUCAACAUCCAUCGGCCUAUCUGGCAUUUCCCGCUUCGAAGAAACGCACACUCUCGGAGAACACUCGCCUUGAAUCCUCCUCGAUAGGAAUGGCAUUAAAUUCACUUCAUAAACGAUGUAAAAUAUCCUCAGUUAAGCGCGAGUCAUAUAGCUCUGCGGUAAUUACCUCCUGCUCCUUCGACACACCGCCCGCGCUUACUACCAUAAAAACGUUUAGUGCAGGCCCCGGAUGGUCUACGCCCGCCCUUCACGGCGGCGCCGUCCUGUCAGACGUAAGAACGCUCUAAAACUUUACGAUUAGAGGUAAGAAAAGUCGUUAAAAACAAGUUCCGCUAGCGUCGAACCCUGCGGAUA